rnacentral:rRNA from 1 species
AUUGAACGCUGGCGGCAGGCCUAACACAUGCAAGUCGAACGCGUUGCGGACGGGUGAGUAAUGUCUGUGAACCUGCCUGAUGGAGGGGGAUAACUACUGGAACCGGUAGCUAAUACCGCAUACCAUCUGCUGUUCCCAGAUGGGAUUAGCUAGUAGGUGGGGUAACGGCUCACCUAGGCGACGAUCCCUAGCUGGUCUGAGAGGAUGACAAGCCACACUGGAACUGAGACACGGUCCAGACGCCUACGGGAGGCAGCAGUGGGGAAUAUUGCACAAGGGGCGAAAGCCUGAUGCAGCAAUGCCGCGUGUAUGAAGAAGGCCUUCGGGUUGUAAAGUACUUUCAGCGGGGAGGCGUUACCCGCAGAAGAAGCACAGGCUAACUCCGGGCCAGCAGCCGCGGUAAUAC